AAUCCAGACUCCUACGGGAGGCAGCAGUGAGGAAUAUUGGUCAACGGUCGGGAGACUGAACCAGCCAAGCCGCGUGAGGGAGGAAGGUACAGAGUAUCGUAAACCUCUUUUGUCAGGGAACAAAGGCGGGGACGUGUCCCCGGAUGAGUGUACCUGAAGAAAAAGCAUCGGCUAACUCCGUGCCAGCAGCCGCGGUAAUACGGAGGAUGCGCGCGUUAUCCGGAUUUAUUGGGUUUAAAGGGUGCGUAGGCGGGAUGCCAAGUCAGCGGUAAAAAUGCGGUGCUCAACGCCGGCGAGCCGUUGAAACUGGCGGCCUCGAGUGGGCGAGAAGUAUGCGGAAUGCGUGGUGUAGCGGUGAAAUGCAUAGAUAUCACGCAGAACUCCGAUUGCGAAGGCAGCAUACCGGCGCCCGACUGACGCUGAGGCACGAAAGCGUGGGUAUCGAACAGGAUUAGAUACCCUCGUA
rnacentral:rRNA from 1 species